UGUCUGUCACUGGCCUUUGAGUGCAGGAAAUGAGAAACAAGAGGAAAAAAGAAGAGAAGAAGGAAUUCAUAACACAGGCAUCAUUCCCUCUGAGGAUAAUUGGCGGUGCUACAUGAAGGAGAUUUUAAUUAAAAAAAACAGAAGUCCCGAAGGCCUUCCAGAGGGUUAGGAAAAGUCGGAAAAGGGUGCCUUGCCCACUUCAGGUUGGUGGAGAGUUCCUGCCUCAAGUGGAGGAGUUCAAAUAUCUGGGAGUCUUGUUCACGAGCGAGUGAAGGAUGGAACGGGAGAUUGACAGACGGAUCGGUGCAGCUUCUGCAGUAAUACGGUUACUGUACCUGUCUGUCAUGGUGAAGAAGGAGCUGAGCCGCAAGGCGAAGCUCUCGAUUUACCGGGCAAUCUACGUUCCUACUCUCACCUAUGGUCAUGAGCUGUGGGUCAUGACCGAAAGGACAAGAUCCCGGAUACAGGCGGCCGAAAUGAGCUUUCUCCGCAGGGUGGCAGGGCGAUCCCUUGAGAUAGGGUGAGAAGAUUGGUCACUCGGGAGGAGCUCAGAGUAGAGCCGCUGCUCCUCCACAUCGAGAGGGGCCAGCUGAGGUGGCUCGGGCAUCUUUUCCGGAUGCCCCCUGGACGCCUUCCCGGGAAGGUGUUCUGGGCAUGUCCCACCGGGAGGAGACCCCGGGGGAGACCUAGGACACGCUGUAGGGACUAUGUCUCCCGGCUGGCCUGGGAACGCCUAGGUGUCCCCCUGGAAGAGCUGGAGGAAGUGUCUAGGAAGAGGGAAGUCUGGGCAUCCCUGCUUAAACUGCUGCCCCCGGGACCCGUCCCAGGAUGAAGUGGAAGAAGAUGGGAUAGUUCACUUGAAGAUUAAAAUUCUGUCAUCAUUUGCUCAGUUUAUUCCAAACCUGUCUAAAUCAUUGUCUCUAAAUUUGUAAGUCUUUGUUCUGCGAAUAACACAAAGGAAGAUAUUUAGAAGAAUGUCAGUAUCCAAGCAGAUCUCAUCCCCCAUUGACUCCCAUAGUAUUUAUUUUCCCUAUGUGAGAGAAAACGAGGAAUGAGAUCUGUUUGGUUACAGACAUUCUUCCUAAUAUCUCCAUUUGUGUUCAGCAGAACAAAGAAAUGUAGAUUUAGAAGAACCUGAGGAUGAGUAAAUGAUGACAGCAUUUACAUUUUUGGGUGAACUAAUGUUGAUAAGUUGAGUGUUCGCCUGAAGGAUUUGACACUAUACAAUGGUUUUAUAUGAAAUCUAUUAAAUUGUCACCAGGGAUAAAACAAACAGGAAAUAGUUUUGCCAAAAUUACAAUACUUCAGACAUGUUUGAUAUGCUUCAGAGCAUUAAUGAUGAGCCUAGCGCUCCACAGUUAACACAUAUUUAGCCAUAAAAGGGCCAUAAUUCAGGAUUUGAACUCAGUUAACCCAAUGCACUACCGCACAACAGACAGUACACAGUUCACUGACCAACAGCACCAAAAUCACAUAUGUACUUUGUUUAAAUAUGUAUUUGGUAAAUAUCCUACCAAUAUAUAUACAUAUUUUUUGUGUGCCCAUCUGUGUGACUCUUUCUCUCUGUCUCAUUUACCAUCUUUGUUUCUUACUAUGUCUUUGACACUCAUUCUAUGCCCUCUCGCUUGACCUAAAUAGGCCGCUUUGUGGGGUAAUUGGCGCCAUUUGGACAAUUUGAAACUCCUGUGGUGUCACAUUGAAGCUUAAUUCACAAUUACCCCUCACUACCCCCUCUUUUUUUUUCUUUUUCGCCUUUUUUUUCAAAGACACCACCACCACCCCACCCUGCUGGUCUGCUGUCCUAUGAUUUGUUCAAUGAAGUUUUAACCAAAACAAAUUAAAGAAGUAGUUCACCUUUUAAAAUGAAAAUUCUGUCAUCAUUUACUCACCCUCUUGUCAUUUCCUGUAUGACUGUCUUUCUUCCACAGAACUGAAAUUCAUAUAUUUUGAAGAAUGUUUUUAUCAGCCCCCAUUCACUUGCAUUGGUUACAAUAGAAGUGAAUGGGAGGCUGUGCUGUUCUGUUACCAACAUUUUUAAAAAUAUCUUGUUUUGUGUUGUCAUACAGGUUGAAAUGACAAGAGGUGUAAAUGAUGACAGAAUUUUAAGGUGAACUACUCCUUAAAGCAAGUUUUCUCUGUUUAUCUGGCCGCUGAAACUAUAAACAUUUAAACUAUGAACAUUUAAUGCUUUGGUUAUUUAAAAACCGAAUCCCACUAAACUGCUGCUUGAUUAUCUAACGCAUAUAUUGAACUUCCUCUUGGUGCCCAAUGACCGCAAGAACUUUCAAAUGUCAAAUUUGUGUGCGUCAAAGUCUAGGGGAUUUUUUUUUUCUUAACUCCUCUUUGUCACAAACACACAGCAAUCAAUGACACGAAAAUGGUGACAACCCUUGGGGAUGCAAUAUCACUUGGUACAAAGAAGAAUCGGUCCGCUACUGGAAGCACUCUGCUCCUUAUAACAACGAAAAACCCCAAAACCAAUCAGAAAAUAGUCAAUUUAAUACAGAUACUAAGAAAUGAAGAAAACUCAAAAGAAACUGGGAAAGAAACUAACUCCAAACACAAAUAAAUUACCAUAAUAUGAAAUAAAGUAGGCUAUAUAAAGUCACCAUAUAACAAACAAAAAAAGAAAAACUUUAUAUUGUCAGUACUAAUACCUGUCGAAAUCAUAAAAUCUCAAAGAGACACAUUACGCAGUUACAGUAUAGCAUUAUUCGAUACAAUUGCUAUUGUAAUGGCAGGAAUACUGGGAAAACCUAUACACCAAUUAAAUCACAGAAACGGUAGAAAAAUCAUAUAAUCCAAAACCUGUUAUGGAUCAGGAAAUUACAAAAUGACCAAGUCACAGUUUCUACAUGGUGUCAGGAUUAGUCUUGUUGUUUCCUUGUUUGGCCACUAGUGGCUCCCAUUUUGUUUUGGUUUCCCUCUCUUUUUGUUAUCAGAGGUUUUGGUUUCAUCUGUGUCUUGUUUCAUUUAAGUGUAUUAAAGCUGCCCUGUUCUUCAUUUCUUUGAUAGGUGUUUGAGUGUGCAAAGUCCUCUUUCUGAGUCCUAGCCAUUGUGGAUUACUACCUCUCUGUGGUAUUACUUGAUGAUGAUUUUAUUUCUUUCUUAGUGGCACAUGUAUGGGCUAUGUUUUUGGACCCAAGCUAGAGUACCUUUUGUUCUCACCUUUUGAACUUUACUCGUGGAUGCGAGUGUCCUUUUUGUUUUUAGCCUUCUGGUAUAUUUAAAUUCUUGCCUGUGUGGCUUUUUCACUUUUGUUAAUAAACUCUUUUUUGAGAGUU